UUGGUCCUACGGGAGGCAGCAGUGAGGAAUAUUGGUCAAUGGGCUUACGCCUGAACCAGCCAAGUCGCGUGAGGGAAGACUGCCCUAUGGGUUGUAACCCUCUUUUGUCAGGGAGCAACGCCGGCUACGUGUAGCCGGACUGAGAGUACCUGAAGAAAAAGCAUCGGCUAACUCCGUGCCAGCAGCCGCGGUAAUACGGAGGAUGCGAGCGUUAUUCGGACUUAUUGGGUUUAAAGUGUGCGUAGGCGGAAUGCCAAGUCAGCGGUAAAAUCGCGGGGCUCAACCUCGCUCCGCCGUUGAAACUG
rnacentral:rRNA from 1 species